CAAACAUUACAUCAAGAUUGCAAGUGAACUUGUCGUAGCCUUGUAGGUCUAUCUCACCAAAAACAUAUAUAUGUUUCGGCUAAUACUGACUGGGUCUGGAUCAUAUCGGAUCAGUCUAAUAGACCUUUACAUUUCUACGACUCUAACUCACGUAGUUUACAAAACUAGUCGUGUAUUGGUGGUCUUCUAUUUCGUCUGUAAUAAAUUAAUUACUUGAACGAACAAUGAAAUAUAAAGAUUUGUUUGUAUCUAUAAUAUUAAAAAAGAAACAUUCUAAAAAAA
rnacentral:lncRNA from 1 species